UACGUAGGGUGCAAGCGUUGUCCGGAAUUAUUGGGCGUAAAGAGCUCGUAGGCGGUCUGUCGCGUCGGAUGUGAAAAUCCAGGGCUCAACCCUGGACCUGCAUUCGAUACGGGCAGACUAGAGUUCGGUAGGGGAGACUGGAAUUCCUGGUGUAGCGGUGAAAUGCGCAGAUAUCAGGAGGAACACCGGUGGCGAAGGCGGGUCUCUGGGCCGAAACUGACGCUGAGGAGCGAAAGCGUGGGGAGCAAACAG
rnacentral:rRNA from 1 species